CCUACGGGCGGCAGCAGUGAGGAAUAUUGGUCAAUGGGCGGAAGCCUGAACCAGCCAAGUAGCGUGCAGGAUGACGGCCCUCCGGGCUGUAAACUGCGUUUAUACGGGAGAAACGCGCCUUACGUGUAGGGCUUUGCAUGUACCGUAUUAAUAAGGACCGGCUAAUUCCGUGCCAGCAGCCGCGGUAAUACUGAAGGUCCGGGCGUUAUCCGGAUUUGUUGGGUUUAAAGGGAGCGUAGGCCGCAUGUCAAGCGUGCUGUGAAAUGGCCGGGCUCAACCCGGGCCUUGCAGCGCGAACUGGCGUGCUUGAGUCCGCGGAAGGCAGGCGGAAUUCGUGGUGUAGCGGUGAAAUGCUUAGAUAUGACGAAGAACACCGAUUGCGAAGGCAGCUUGCUGCAGCGGAACUGACGCUGAUGCUCGAAAGCGCGGGUAGCGAACAGGAUUAGAUACCCUGGUAGUC
rnacentral:rRNA from 1 species